UACGUAGGGGGCGAGCGUUGUCCGGAGUUACUGGGCGUAAAGCGCUUGUAGGCGGUCCACCAAGUUUGGGGUGACAGUUGCCGACUUAAUCGGCAAAGUGCCUCAAAGACUGGCGGACUUGAGGGCCACAGGGGGACAUGGAACUCCAGGUGUAGUGGUGAAAUGCGUAGAUAUUCGGAAGAACACCAGUGGCGAAGGCGACUACCUGGUCUGGCAUUGACGCUCAUGUGCGAAAGCGUGGGGAGCAAACAGG
rnacentral:rRNA from 1 species